UACGUAGGGUGCGAGCGUUGUCCGGAAUUAUUGGGCGUAAAGAGCUUGUAGGCGGUUUGUCGCGUCUGCCGUGAAAUUUCGGGGCUCAACCCCGAACUUGCGGUGGGUACGGGCAGACUAGAGUGUGGUAGGGGAGACUGGAAUUCCUGGUGUAGCGGUGAAAUGCGCAGAUAUCGGGAAGAACACCCGUGGCGAAGGCGGCUCUCUGGGACGGUACUGACGCUGAGACGCGAAAGCGUGGGGAGCGAACAGG
rnacentral:rRNA from 1 species